AACUGCACACGCGGGGGCUCUCACGAUGACCGAGGGCUGAGAUGGCGACGGGCGGUCGCCGACCGCCUGAACCUGUCCGGGUAAUGCCGGCGUAGGGAGAGCAUCCAUGGGGACA
rnacentral:ncRNA from 2 species